rnacentral:misc_RNA from 1 species
CCGGAGGCAUUCGGAGUUUCGGACGUGCGGACGUUCGGACGUUCGGACGCAAAUAGUUUUCCUUUUGCGAACGCAACUUAUAGAGCGAAAAAGGUCGACACGAUGGCUGUCUGUACUCGUUUGCGUUGAUCACCGCUGAUUGUUCAGGUCGGUAAAGAACGCGGCAUACAUACGUCCUGACAGAUUAGAGAAAUUGUGUGUCGUCAACCCUACUGAUACGUGCGGUCUCUCACUGCCCGAACUUUUCGCGCAUUAAAUCGCAAACGACCAAGACCGCAGAAAAUAAAUCUCGUAUUAGCGAGGAGAAGGAGGUGACAUGGACGUCGACAUAUCCACGGAUAACAAUACAAAUGAAAAUACAGCGAUGGAGAUCGACGAGGACAGCUCCGAGAAGAAUACGAAGAUGUCCGGAAGCACCAUCAAGGUCAUGGCAUCUUCGGGUACCAUCGGUUCCGUAUCUGUCAGCUUGCAUCCGCUGGUGAUCAUGAACAUCAGCGAGCAUUGGACCAGGCUCAGAGCUCAGGAAGGCAGUGAUCAAUUGGUGUAUGGUGCUUUGAUCGGCAAACAGAAGGGUCGUAACAUAGAAAUUAUGAACUCGUUUGAAUUGCUGUUUACCUGUAUCAGUGAUGAUGUCAUAAUCGAUAGAGAUUAUUAUAAUAUAAAGGAGGAGCAAUUCAAAUUAGUUUUUAGUGAAAUGGACUUUCUGGGUUGGUACACCACUGGUGAUAUGCCUAAUGAGAGAGACAUAAGAGUGCACAAGCAGCUCUGUGAGAUAAAUGAAAGUCCUGUAUUGUUAAAAUUAGAUCCAAGACCAAAAAAUACAGAGCAUCUAUCCGUUUCCAUGUACGAAUCAGUGAUUGAUUUAGUUAACGGCGAAGCCACCAUGUUAUUUGUUCCAUUAACUUAUACAUUAGCGACGGAAGAAGCUGAGAGGAUUGGUGUUGAUCAUGUACAAAGAAUGUGUAAUAACGAUCAAGGCGAAUGCUCAGUAGUGGCUGAACACUUAACAGCGCAACACAGUGCCAUUAAAAUGUUGCACGCGAGAGUAAAGCUCGUCCUAAGAUACGUACAGGCUGUACAAAAUGGAGAAUUGAAAGGAAAUCACGAGGUUCUUCGAGCGGCUUGUUCUUUAAGCCAUCGACUGCCUGUUUUAAACAAUCCAAAGUUUAAAGCUGACUUUUAUAAUCAAUGCAACGACUUUGGUUUGCUGACAUAUCUCGGUAUCAUAACUAAAGGAUGUAAUAAUAUAAAUCAAUUUGUCAACAAAUUCAACAUUCUGUACGAUAGACAAGGCGUGGGCCGACGUCUACGAAGUCUCUUCUUCUGAUGUGUAAAUGGAAUCUGUUGUUUUUAUACGCAUCUUUUUUUACGUUUUAGAUAUACACACACACAUAUAUUGUAUCAAAAAUAAAUAAAAAGUAAGGAAAUUAUAUAAAAGUUACAUAGCAGUUUUUUGAAGCAAGAUAUAACGGGAAAUGAUAGCAAGUAACGAUCCAAAACACGUAGUAUUUCGUCGGUAAUAUUAUUUGAAAAUAAUAUUUAUUGAAUGCUGUCUUGUAUAAGUGCUUUAUGUUUAACAUAUUUCAAUUGACGUGUGAUAUUAAUAAAAACUGUGAUGCAUUCAUAAGAAA